UUUUUGGCCAUUGUGCGCAAGCCUGCUCCAGCCUUGCCGCGCGAGUGAGGAAGGCCUUCGGGCUGUUAAGCUCUUUCGGCCGGCACGAAAUCGCGCAGCCUAAUACCCUGCGCGGGUGACGGUUCCGUCAUAAGAAGCACCGGCUAACUACGUGCCUGCAGCCGCGGUAAUACGGAGGGUGCGAGCAUUAAUCGGAAUUACUGGGCGUAAAGCGUGCGCAGGAGGUAGAUUAAGACAGUCGUUAAAGACCCGGGCUUAACCUGAGAACAGCAUUUGUAACUGGUCAACUAGAGUACGGCAGAGGGGGGUGGAAUUCCACGUGUAGCAGUGAAAUGCGUAGAGAUGUGGAGGAACACCAAUGGCGAAGGCAGCCCACUGGGCCGAUACUGACGCUCAUGCACGAAAGCGUGGGUAGCAAACAGG
rnacentral:rRNA from 1 species